ensembl:lncRNA
AUGGCUCAUGUUGAGAACAACCAAAAGCAGGAAGAACAAGGAGCUGAGGGAAAAGGCCUUUUAAGGAGGCUGGAGAAGGGUCCCCAAGUUGAUGCAGGAGUCAUGUGUCCCAGGAAGUUAAACGAAGGCUUCCAGAACCUCCUGACCUGCCCGGUCUGCAGGAAUCGUUUCCGCGAUCCCGUCACCGUGUUCUCCGGAAACACGGUCUGCCAGUCCUGCGUGCCGCAGGGGUUCCCGGGGGCCCACGUCAACUGGCGGAUGAAGAACGUGGUGAAUCUGUUCGAGCGGCUGAAACCCCGGCUAGAGGCGCUCCCCCUGGUCCUGGGGCCCUGGUGCACCGAGCACGGCGAGCCCCUCACCCUCCUGUGUCUGGAGGACAAUCAGGGAAUCUGCAAAGUCUGCAAGUAUGGCAGCCUUCACCGCUCGCACACCCUGAGCCCGAUGCCAGGGCCUGACCCGUGAGGGGGAGUCGGGCGGCCAAGUCGGCUUUCUGGGAGGGCUGAAGGAAGCUGCGCUGGCGGGGGCAAGGGCGCCCCCCGGGGGCUCCCGGGAUCUCCUCCUUGUGUCGCUCUCGGGAGCCCUCCCCGGGCUGUUCUCGGGCCCCCGGGGCGUCAGUCUCCUUGUCUCCCUCCCGGCCACUCGGCGCCCCUCCUGGGAAGCCUUCCCGAAAUUCCCCCUCUCUCCCACAUCCCCUCAGGGGUCCGAGUCCCUGCUGGAUCCCCCCCAAACCAGGGCCCGCGCCUCCCGACCCCAGCCCGGGGCGUCCCUUUUCAGAGGCUGCAAGUUUGAAUCCGGGGGUUUUUAUCCCCAGUUUCCUCUGAAGAAGAGACUGCGAUCUUUUCCCCGUUGUGGGCGGGGAGAGCACGGCCGCGCCCCUUCCGCGUCCCCUCCGUCGGCCGCCUUCCGGGAGAACAGAACCCACGUGACUGGAGGCGGAUACGGGAGCACAGCAUGCCCGCUGGAAGAACUCCCCGAUGGUUGCCAUUGGGCCGGACUGCCGCCUGCCGGCCGCUCUGGGUACUGCCCUGAAAACGUGCUCAUUCAAUAAAGUUUCUGUGACUUCCGGGGCGCUGAGCCGGGCAGUUCCAGGCACGUGGCCACAAAUGCCUCUGAUAAGGAAGCGGGGCAUGAAGCGGGCGAGCGCACAGAGCCUCCGGGAAGCUGGAGUCGGUGCCUUUGGGGGGGGGGCUGAACUAGACUCUCCUGCUGCCCCUCUGGGGCCCAGACCCGCUUCCCCAGGGACUGCCGGCUUUUCCCAACCCCGGGCCCGCCCUGCUUCCUCCUGUGCCCCCGAGCCCGGCUUCUCAAACGGAGGUCCUGGCCCCGAAUCGGGCCGCGUAACUGAAUGGGGGGCUGUUUUUUUUUGGGGGGGGGUUGUUGUUUUUUUCAGCAAAAUUAUGGUUUUUCAGUAAAUGUUUGUUUCCAUUCGUAUUUUAUUGGCCUGGGGCCACGCAAACAUUUUUCGGGGGAAAGUUGAAGGAGUCCGGCUCUGGAACAUUCAGAUUGUUCUUUGAAUUCCCCUGAAAUGAAGGAAGUUUGCCCCUCUGCGGCUUCCGUCCGCGGUUGCCCCCGGGGCGCUCCGAGCGCGCUGCCCGGCGCUCUUUCUCACGUGGCCUUCCCGGACUGCAGGCCUUGAACCGCGUCCCGCCCGUCUGGAGGCCACGCAGCCGCUUCCCCUCAGCCCGCGGCCCUUCCCGCCGCUCCCUCUCGCUGGACAUCCCGGGACGGACGGACGCCCUCCCUUGUUUGUGGAAGUCCUAGAUCAGGAGACUGGGCUUUCCAGCAGCCAGUGCUCACACCCGACGCUUGUGCAGACUCGGCUCUUUAGCGGGACUUUUCGGGUUUCCCCCCGGUCGUCUAAUCCCUAAAAAGCUGCCUUUGCCCGGUCUCGGAGCUGGAUUUGAAGGCAAACGUAUCUUUCCUUUUUUCCUGAGGAGCCGGUUGUUAACAAAAAUUAAUUCAUAUUUUAAAUAUUUAAAUAAAUCUCUAAUUUAUCUAAUGUUUAUUUAUUAUUGCUAAUAUUGCUUUGUUAAUUAUUAGUAAAUAUUAAUAUUCAUUAUUUUUUAAAAUAAAUAUUUCACAAUAAUUUGUUAAAUAUUUGCAACCUUGCCAACGGGGACACAGCCAAAGAGGAGAGAGAGAUGGAAAGAGUUUACAGAUCCAUUUUGUUAUAAUUUCUAAGGGCACAGAGAAAACAUUUAUAUUAGGAAACCAUUCAGGCAACAUGGUAGCAUUUAGGGAUGGGGAAAAUAGCUCAGCUCACUAUAUUAAUACUAUUACAGUUUUUAUAGUGUUUAACCUGUAUUAGAUUAAUUGCUAUCUAGAGGAG